UUCGCCUACGGGGCGCAGCAGUAGGGAAUCUUCCACAAUGGGCGAAAGCCUGAUGGAGCAACGCCGCGUGGGUGAAGAAGGUCUUCGGAUUGUAAAGUUCUGUCCUUAUCGAAGAGAGGGUAUAGAGUGAAAAAUGAUAUACUAGGACGGUAGAUGAGGAGGAAGCCCCGGCUAACUACGUGCCAGCAGCCGCGGUAAUACGUAGGGGGCGAGCGUUGUCCGGAAUCACUGGGCGUAAAGGGCGCGUAGGCGGUAAUAUAAGUCAGAUGUGAAA
rnacentral:rRNA from 1 species